AACGAACGCUGGCGGCAUGCCUAACACAUGCAAGUCGAACGAGACCUUCGGGUCUAGUGGCGCACGGGUGCGUAACGCGUGGGAACCUGCCCUUAGGUUCGGAAUAACUCCCCGAAAGGGGUGCUAAUACCGGAUAAUGUCUUCGGACCAAAGAUUUAUCGCCUUUGGAUGGGCCCGCGUUGGAUUAGCUAGUUGGUAGGGUAAAAGCCUACCAAGGCGACGAUCCAUAGCUGGUCUGAGAGGAUGAUCAGCCACACUGGGACUGAGACACGGCCCAGACUCCUACGGGAGGCAGCAGUGGGGAAUAUUGGACAAUGGGCGAAAGCCUGAUCCAGCAAUGCCGCGUGAGUGAUGAAGGCCUUAGGGUUGUAAAGCUCUUUUACCCGGGAUGAUAAUAACAGUACCGGGAGAAUAAGCUCCGGCGAACUCCGU
rnacentral:rRNA from 1 species